GGGAUUUACUUACACGAGUUGCUUUAGAGUAGUCUCUCUCUCUCUGUCUGACUGAUCUCAGGGAAGGACGGAGCCUCAUAUUCAUGGAAGGCAACUGAAAGAUUAAUUACAACUUCAGUGGGUUUGAAGACAAACCUUAAUUAAAAGGAGGAUCACCGCGACUGAGCCAGUCCAUUUGCAGUAGCUUAUAGCUGCACCAAGACCAGCAAGAGCUGAAACACCAGGCAGAUAGGUGGGCAAAGCACUCCUAUGGCCGGGGGAAAUCUGCUUUGCAGUGGCAACUUGGGAGUGUCAAAUUCACAGCUGGUAGUGAUGGGGAAUAAAACAUCAUCUUCUACCCCAUACUGCCAGGAGGCAACUGCCAUUUUGUCAACAAAGCGCUGGGGCUGGUGUUUCCCUGCAGUACAAUGAGGACUACUGGAAUGAUACUGCUUGUAAAAGUCAAGGCUUGGAUGUAGCCUGAAAUUUUGAAAACCCGGAUGGAAAGCUGCAUGAGGGUUGUGUCAGGAUUUGUGCUCAUGCUAACUUUCAAGUUUAAUGCAACUAUGAAGAAGUGGAAAAGCAAGGUGGAAGAAAAUAAUGUGGAAAAAUCUUGUUUAGUCUGUUUAUCAGGAAUUUCUGACAAGUUCAUGUGCAGAAUGACGAUGGAAGAAGAUAUUCUCUAGGAAAUAUCUGACACAAUGCACUAAGACGAAGAAACUAGAAUACUGACAAAUCUCUCUACUAACCCUGCAAGCACUGUAGAAACACAUUAAAAUAAUGAGAAAAAAAACCACUAAAAUUUCCUCUCCAGGUACAAGAUUUUUUUUUUUUUUUUUUUUUUUAUUUCCUACUACAA